GGACGAACGCUGGCGGCGUGCUUAACACAUGCAAGUCGAACGGAAAGGCCUCUUCGGAGGUACUCGAGUGGCGAACGGGUGAGUAACACGUGGGCAAUCUGCCCUGCACUUCGGGAUAAGCCUGGGAAACUGGGUCUAGUACCGGAUAGGACCUCAAGACGCAUGUCUUCUGGUGGAAAGCUUUUGCGGUGUGGGAUGGGCCCGCGGCCUAUCAGCUUGUUGGUGGGGUGACGGCCUACCAAGGCGACGACGGGUAGCCGGCCUGAGAGGGUGUCCGGCCACACUGGGACUGAGAUACGGCCCAGACUCCUACCGGGAGGCAGCAGAAGGG
rnacentral:rRNA from 1 species